rnacentral:rRNA from 1 species
AUUGAACGCUGGCGGCAGGCUUAACACAUGCAAGUCGAGCGGUGGGAGUUGCUUCGGUAACUAACCUAGCGGCGGACGGGUGAGUAAUGCUUAGGAAUCUGCCUAUUAAUGGGGGACAACAUCUCGAAAGGGAUGCUAAUACCGCAUACGCCCUACGGGGGAAAGCAGGGGAUCUUCGGACCUUGCGUUAAUAGAUGAGCCUAAGUCGGAUUAGCUAGUUGGUGGGGUAAAGGCCUACCAAGGCGACGAUCUGUAGCGGGUCUGAGAGGAUGAUCAGCCACACUGGGACUGAGACACGGCCCAGAAUCCUACGGGAGGCAGCAGUGGGGAAUAUUGGACAAUGGGGAACCCUGAUCCAGCCAUGCCGCGUGUGUGAAGAAGGCCUUAUGGUUGUAAAGCACUUUAAGCGAGGAGGAGGCUUCUUUGGUUAAUACCCAAAGUAAGUGGACGUUACUCGCAGAAUAAGCACCGGCUAACUCUGUGCCAGCCGCCGCGGUAACAC